GUUGCAGAGAAAAAAGUUUCAGGGUUUGCUCUCUCUCUCAGACGAAGAAACAGGCCGAGAACACGAUUUCUAAUCGAAAUUUCCAGUUCAACAAUGGAACUAUGAAGAUCUUCAACAACAACAGAAAUAAAGAAGAUAACAACUAAUCGUCAUUCACAGAACAACUUUGGGUACUGG